GCGAUUCGGCAUGGUCUGAUUUUAUUGAGCUGUUUACUGUUGAUUUUAUGUUAUGUUUAUAUUUUAGUAAAAUAUUAUUUUGUUGUUGUAUUUUAUUGAUUUAAUUUUUUGGUUAUAGUUUAUUUGUACUGUAGGGGUAUGCAUUGAUUUAUUUUUGGAAGUUUACUUGCUUUGUUGUACCUUGUGUAUCAGGGUUUACUGAAUUUUAUUAUUUAUUUUUAUUUCCCGAUUCUGAAAGGAGCUAUUAACUUAUUUUAGUUGUUGUUUUAUUAACAUUAAUAAUGGGUUAAUAGUGAUGAAAUGUUAUUCGUCUUUAGGGGUUUCUGGUUUUUCAGGAAAUGAAUUUAAUUCAUGCGUCUUAUUUAGAGUUUUAUCAUUUUUUAUUUAUUUUUAUUUGUCGUUAAGAUUGGGAGGGAUUAGCUUCUUAUUUUAUUUUUAUAAUAUUUUGUUUAUUUAGUCUUGUGGGUUUUAUAGUGAUUUUCAAUUUGAUUAUGUUAAAAUUUUAUUUGUUUUUUUCUUUAUUUCUAAUUAUUUAAUUAUUUAUUGAAAUGUAUUCUUUAUCUUUAAUUUUGGUUAGUAAUUAUUGUAGAAUUAGUAAAUUUGUUUUUAGGCUGUUUUAUUUGUGUUAAUUUUCUUUGAGGAACUAGGCAAAUUUCAUGCUCGCCUGUUUAACAAAAACAUCUUUUCUCGUUAGUUUUUGAAGUAUGGCCUGCCCACUGACUGGUGUUGAAGGGCCGCGGUAUUUUGACCGUGCAAAGGUAGCAUAAUCAUUAGUUCUUUAAUUGUGAUCUGGUAUGAAUGGCUUGACGAGGCAUGGGCUGUCUUAAUUUUGAAUUGUUUGUUGAAUUUGUUCUUUGAGUUAAAAUUCUUAGAUGUUUUUAUGGGACGAGAAGACCCUAUAGAGUUUAACAUUUAUUAUGGUCCUUUUUCUGUUUGUGAGGGUUCACUGGGCCGUUUAAUAUGUUUUGUUGGGGUGAUGGGAGGGAUUUAUUUAACCCCUCCUUUGUGUUGUUAUAUUUAUUUAUAUUUACUUGAUCCAUUUAUUUUGAUUGUAAGAUUAAAUUACCUUAGGGAUAACAGCGUUAUCCCCCUUGAGAGUUCUUAUCGGCAGGGGGGUUUGCGACCUCGAUGUUGGAUUAAGGUUUAUUUUCGGUGUAGUGGCUGAAAUUAUUAGGUCUGUUCGACCUUUAAAAUCUUACAUGAUCUGAGUUCAAACCGGCGUGAGCCAGGUUGGUUUCUAUCUAUAAUGGAGUUAUAUAUCUUAGUACGAGAGGACCAGAUAUUUGGAAUAAUUUUAUGUUGGUUGAAUAUUAUUAACUGGCUAUUUUGGCAGACAAGUGCGUUAGAUUUAGAAUCUGUUAAUGUAAAUUU
rnacentral:rRNA from 1 species